CACGGACAAGAUUUCAGUAUCUCUCGUGACAGUGUGGAGAAAGUGAGGUCAAUCCGCGCGAGGGAAAGAAAAUUAUUAAGUUUAAAGGAUAUUCAUUUCAGUAACGGUUUCGGUACGCGAAGCCCCACCUGCCCCCCCUACCCUACCCCCCCUUGACGAUGUGCUUCCUCUGAGCGUACGACCACUCCGCUAAGACGACCAGCCAGCUAAGA